rnacentral:rRNA from 1 species
AUACGGAGGAUCCAAGCGUUAUCCGGAUUUAUUGGGCUUAAAGGGUGCGUAGGCGGGAAAGUAAGUCUGAUGUGAAAGUUUAUGGCUCAACCAUAGAAUUGCAGUUGAAACUCUUUUUCUUGAGUACAGAUGAGGUGGGCGGAAUUUGUGGUGUAGCGGUGAAAUGCAUAGAUAUCACAAGGAACUCCAAUUGCGAAGGCAGCUCACUGGGGUGUAACUGACGCUAAUGCACGAAGGUGUGGGUAUCAAACAGGACUAGAUACCCUGGUAGUCCACACAGUAAACUAUGAAUACUCGCUGUUUGCGAUACACAGUAAGCGGCUAAGCGAAAGCAUUAAGUAUUCCACCUGGGGAGUACGUCGGCAACGAUGAAACUCAAAGGAAUUGACGGGG